CCUGAAACGCAAGAAUGAGACAAAAGAUGAUCAAAUCGGAGCAAAAAGUAGAUGUAUGUGUAAAGUAGAUGCAUGUAUCUGCUUUAUCUCUACGGGUAAUACCGUAAUACUCCUCUUCCAUUCAUGAAGAUUCCGUCUACCUUUUCUCUCUCGCCGAAGCUCAUUGCUUCCAUCGUCAUCUCACCUGCUUUUGGGGUUUCAAUUUCGUCUAAUUCGUGCGGGUGGUUGGCGGCGUUCCAUCAUUGGUGAUACUGGUAUUCCUCUCUACCACUUGAAUCGUGUUGUUUUCCUGUUCUGUUUUCUGGGUCUCUCUCUCGACACAAUCUGAUUUUUCUAACCUUUUUCUCAUAAUCUUCCUCUCCCGAACCAUGAUUCGCGAGAAAGGGUCUGCGCAAUCAAACCUAGAUUGCUUGCUUCAUUUCAAAACCCAACUAAAGUCCAAUUUUUACCAAACGUUAGUUCUGUUUGCCUUGGAUUUUGUUUCAAGCCACCAAUUUUUACUCUGUUUGUUUUACUUCUUUUGCGGGUGUGCGGCGGAGGUAGAACUUGAUCAUCGUUGUUGUUGGAGGUGAGUGGGGACUCCACCAUGCCAUGAAUUUCUCAUAUCUUUGCUUAGUUGUUGUGGUUGUUAUGUUGUAUCCUUUUUGAUUUCUUCUCUUUUUGCCGUUCUCGGUUUGCUUCAGCUUGUGGGGGUAUUUGGACUGUUUUUGCCGUUCUUGGUUUUCUUUUUAAUUUACUGUAUAUUUAUUUUGUUUUAUACAAGUUUCUUACAAUUUCGAUAAUUUCGAUCUCCAUGUUUGCAAGGAAUCAUGGCGAAGAGUCCCAGUCUCUACUAUGACAUUGGCAAAGCCAGGAUCUUCUCUACAAGGACUACCAAUUUGACCACAAGUACACUAUCAACACCGACUCUCCUAUUGAAGUUAAGAUAAAAGAAGUGAUACAAGGUUACGGAAGCAGCAGGGCCGAACUUCCACACAACCGUUGCUUGCAAGAGUCGCAAAGGAGGUACACGACCAACUGGUUCUUUAUGCGACGAGCAAUUUGCCCUGGGGUCCUCAUCGAUCAGUUCUCGCAGAUAUGGCCCACAAAAGAACAUGAAAUGUUUGGCACUAAGAAGACAUGUAACAAAAGACUCCUCAGGAGUCAGGCCCGCUAUUGAUGGGUUCAUUUCUGGGCUAAGCAACUGAGCAGCUGAGUUUGUCGCCCAUACUUGGCAACACAGGUUUUUUUUUCCUAUUCCCAUGUAAUGAUUGACUUAUGAUUUUGGUAAAGCAAACAAAUAGUUUUCACCUCCUGUGCAUUUAGCACGUCCAUGUCAUGUACAUUUGCAAAGUAUAUUCAAGGAAUUGACUAUCA